AGAAAAAGAAACAAGAAAAUAAAAUGAGGAGAGAUCAGUUAAAUGAUGAGUAUCUGGAAUUAUUAGAGAAACAACGGCUCUACUUUAAAACAGUGAAAGACUUUAAAGAGGAGUGCCGGAAGAAUGAAAUGCUGCUUUCAAAGUUAAGAGCUAAGGGGGCAUCCUAGACACCAUUGUGAAAUCAAAAUAUCCUUUUUUUCUUUUUUUUUUUUUUUUUGUGUAAUCAAGACCUACUAAUCUUAAAUGGAAAGCCUUAUGUGUUGCAUCUAAGUCAAGUUCAUCCACAUUUUUGCAGUUUAAGCUACAUGAAAGAAAUUAAAUAUUUGCAAAAAUGUGGUUAAAUAAAUUGACAAAGUUUUGACGAGAUCCCGUUUAACAAAGUGUUUAAACUUAAUGGAUGAAAUACAUAUUCUCUGUUUCUGUCUGUUCAGUUCUCAUUUACAAUUAAUAUAGAAUAUAGGUAUAACAAAACAUAAUGUGGUUUUUAAUCUAUACAUGUAGUACUAUACAUUUAUGAACAUACUAAACCCAGAUAUGUCAAGGAAACUUCUCCUUUUUAUAAGUAAUGUUUGUUUUUUUCAUUACUUUUACAUAAUAGAUGUCAAAGGUGUAUGCAAAUUUUUGUCAUUUCAUUAUAUUGUAGUGUAUUGCAUGUCUUAUUUAACUCAUUAUAUACUGUAUGAUUCUGUCUUCAUCUUUAGCGGCUGUAGAUAAACCUGACUGGAAUAUGUUAAAACCGUUGUGAACUGUAGGACAAAAAUAAACAAGGUUGGAAUGCA